rnacentral:rRNA from 1 species
AUGCAAGUCGAGCGGUAAGGCCUUUCGGGGUACACGAGCGGCGAACGGGUGAGUAACACGUGGGUGAUCUGCCCUGCACUUCGGGAUAAGCCUGGGAAACUGGGUCUAAUACCGGAUAUGACCUCCUAUCGCAUGGUGGGUGGUGGAAAGAUUUAUCGGUGCAGGAUGGGCCCGCGGCCUAUCAGCUUGUUGGUGGGGUAAUGGCCUACCAAGGCGACGACGGGUAGCCGACCUGAGAGGGUGACCGGCCACACUGGGACUGAGACACGGCCCAGACUCCUACGGGAGGCAGCAGUGGGGAAUAUUGCACAAUGGGCGAAAGCCUGAUGCAGCGACGCCGCGUGAGGGAUGACGGCCUUCGGGUUGUAAACCUCUUUCAGCAGGGACGAAGCGCAAGUGACGGUACCUGCAGAAGAAGCACCGGCUAACUACGUGCCAGCAGCCGCGGUAAUACGUAGGGUGCAAGCGUUGUCCGGAAUUACUGGGCGUAAAGAGUUCGUAGGCGGUUUGUCGCGUCGUUUGUGAAAACCAGCAGCUCAACUGCUGGCUUGCAGGCGAUACGGGCAGACUUGAGUACUGCAGGGGAGACUGGAAUUCCUGGUGUAGCGGUGAAAUGCGCAGAUAUCAGGAGGAACACCGGUGGCGAAGGCGGGUCUCUGGGCAGUAACUGACGCUGAGGAACGAAAGCGUGGGUAGCGAACAGGAUUAGAUACCCUGGUAGUCCACGCCGUAAACGUGGGCGCUAGGUGUGGGUUCCUUCCACGAAUCCGUGCCGUAGCUACGCAUAAGCGCCCGCUGGGGAGUCCGCCCAGGUAACUCAAAGAAUUGCGGGCCGCCACCGCGA